rnacentral:rRNA from 1 species
UACGUAGGGUGCGAGCGUUACUCGGAAUUACUGGGCGUAAAGUGUGCGCAGGCGGCCGAGCAAGUCGAGUGUGAAAGCCCCGAGCUUAACUUGGGAAUUGCGCUCGAAACUACUUGGCUGGAGUGUGGCAGAGGAAGGUGGAAUUCCAGGUGUAGCGGUGAAAUGCGUAGAGAUCUGGAGGAACACCGAUGGCGAAGGCGGCCUUCUGGGCCAACACUGACGCUCAUGCACGAAAGCGUGGGGAGCAAACAGG